AAAAUAUUUCAUUGACGUACAAGAUUAGCUAUACCAAUUUAACUACAUAUGGUAGCUUACGCGCAUUGUGUUACAAGGACUAUUCUUGAUAGCUCUUUUAAAAAGUUUAGCUGUUAAUAAUAGCCCAAAAACAUUUACCUCAAUGUUUAUUACUUUCACAACACCAAUGUUCUAUAUUACAUUCGCUAGGAAACUAGGCCCUAGAAAAUAAGUAAAAGGGGUGGCAAAAAUGGUGCCAGCAGUCGCGGUUAUACCAGUACCCCAAGCUAAUUAAAACAAAUCGGAAUAAUUAUUAAUUUAAAAAGACUACAAGAUUAACUUUUAAUGUAAAAAGUAAAUUAAAACUAAACCCGAUCCAGUCAUCAUCUUAAUUAUUCCAACAAACCACAAUCUCAGAACUCGGAUUAGAUACCCGACUACUGUGUGGCCCAACCCAUAAAAGAAUACUACGAGCGAAAGCUUAAACCUCAAACAAUGUGGCGGUGCUUUACUCCUUAUCAGGGGAUCCUGUGGCUUAAUUCGAUAAUCCACGAAAAUCUUAGCUAUUCUCGUACUUCAGCUUGUGUAUGGCCGUUUAUGCUUGCUCAAAGAAGAAAAAAAAGGAAGCAAUAGAAUUAUUAAUUCAACAAUUCAGGUGACAUACAGCCAAUGAAAAGCAGACUCAUGGGAUACAAAUAAACACACUAACGAAUUUAAAUCUUCAAACUUUAAUGAAGGAGGACUUGAAAGUAAGAUUUAGCAUUUACAUAAAAUAAAUCUGGACAAGAACUAAAGCGCGCACAAAUCGCCCGUCACUCCGACAAUAAAGUAGGAUAAGUCGUAACAUAGUAGGGGUAAUGGAAAUUGCCCCUAUCAAAAU
rnacentral:rRNA from 1 species